rnacentral:rRNA from 1 species
GGUGAGUAGAAUAUACUAAGGCGUAAGAGUGAACCCCCGUUAAGGAACUCGGCAAUCUAGCCCCGUAACUUCGGGAGAAGGGGUGCCUGAUGAAGGUCAGGCCGCAGUGAAUGGGCCCAACCGACUGUUUAUCAAAAACACAGCAUUGUGCCAAGACGCAAGUCGACGUAUACGAUGUGACACGUGACCAAUGCGGAAAGAUUAAGGCAAGAGGUUAGUCGCAAGGCGAAGCUUUGAACCCAAGUCCCCGUGAAUGUCGGCCGUAACUAUAACGGUCCUAAGGUAGCGAAAUUCCUUGUCGGGUAAGUUCCGACCUGCACGAAUCGUGUAACGAGUUGGGCGCUGUCUCAACGGGGUGCUCAGUGAAAUUGUAUUGGCGGUGAAGAUGCCGCCUACCCGUGGAAGGACGGAAAGACCCUAUGCACCUUAACUGUACUCUGUCACUGUUGUUUCGGUUUUCAUGCUCAGCGUAAGUGGGAGACUUUGAGAACACCCUUUCGGGGGAGUUUGAGUCGUCAAUGAGACACCACCCUUGAGGAUUGAGACAUCUAACACCGGUCCCGUGAAUCCGGGCGGAGGACCAUGGCAGACGGUCAGUUUUACUGGGGCGGUAUCCUCCUAAAGAGUAACGGAGGAGCGCGAUGGUUGGCUCAACCUGGUUGGCAAUCAGGUGUUGAGUGCAUUGGCAUAAGCCAGCCUAACUGUGAGACCCACAAGUCGAGCAGAUGCGAAAGCAGGUCAAAGUGAUCCGGCGUUUGAAUGUGGAAUCGACGUCGCUCAACGGACAAAAGGUACGCUAGGGAUAACAGGCUGAUUUUGCCCAAGAGUUCAUAUCGACGGCAAAGUUUGGCACCUCGAUGUCGGCUCGUCACAUCCUGGGGCUGGAGAAGGUCCCAAGGGUCUGGCUGUUCGCCGGUUAAAGUGGCACGCGAGCUGGGUUCAGAACGUCGCGAGACAGUUCGGUCCUCUAUCCUCCAUGGGCGCAGGAAAAUUGAGGGGUUCAAUCCUUAGUACGAGAGGACCGGGAUUGACGAGCCUCUGGUGUUCCGGUUGUCACGUCAGUGGCAUCGCCGGGCAGCUACGCUCGGAAGGGAUAAGCGCUGAAAGCAUCUAAGCGCCAAGCCCCUCCCAAGAUAAGUUUUCCCUGAAGGAUCGUGGAGGACUACCACGUUGAUAGGGCGGAGGUGUAAGCGCAGUAAUGUGUUCAGCUUACCGCUACUAAUCAUCCGUUCGGCU